rnacentral:tRNA from 1 species
GUAAUGAUAGUAUCUUGUACCUGAACCGGUGGCUCACUUCCGAUUCGGCAGUUCGAUCUAUGAUUUAUCAUUC